UACAUUUUAAUCUGAAUAAUUCUUCAGGGUUUAAAAUUAAUUGGCUCUGGCUUGGUUGGACCGGACUCCGAUCUCGCCACCUCUGCGUUUCCUGAGUCACUGCCGGAGAGGUGAUGAUUUUUUUUUUUUUUUUUCUGAACUGGGUUUAUGCGCGUCCCCCUCACCCCCUCCUCUCUUUUUUCUUUCUCUGUCUCUGUCGUCUCUCUCGCUGGCUUUUUAAAAAUGAGGAACCGUUCCUUGAACGUUCUGGACAGAGCACAGAAUUGCUUAAGUCAGCCCGACACGGUUGUAAUAGACAGCAAAAAGGUAAACGUUUGCCUGAAAUCCGCACGCCAGCACCACUACCCCGCCCGAUGGGAUAACCGGUUUCUAAAACAUUGUGGAAUUCAAGGCUCCAUAAUGGAAUCAAGAAGUCAUGAACGGCUCCCUUGGAAGGAAGCUUGGAGGACACUGGUCCAACUUCCCACUGAAGCCAGAGGUCUGGAAAUGGGCAGACGGUCAGGCAGACACCGAUUCAGCAUUUUCAAGAGUUGUAAAUUCAAGGCAGGUACCCCUGCAGCAAUUACCUACUAGAAGCGGAGGAAGAGGCGGUCUGUGAGCGCAGUGGCCACCGGUAGGUAAUAGGAUCCGUGGUUGUUGUGGGUGUAAAGUGCUAACACUUUUUUUCUGUACGCGAGCCUCCCACUGUUGUGGCCUCUCCCGUUGCGGAGCACAGUCUCCGGACGCGCAGGCUCAGCGGCCAUGGCUCACGGGCCCAGGCGCUCCGCUGCAUGUGGGAUCUUCCGGGACCGGGGCACGUGUCCCCCGCGUCGGCAGGCGGACUCUCAACCACUGCGCCACCAGGGCAGCCCUGCUAACACUUUUGACAGCCACCAUCCUAAAGGGGUGUAGCAAGUCAUUGGAAAUUUGUACACAGACUGCCCCAUCCAUUACGCAUCACCCGUAUCAUACCCAUAAUCUACCAAGGCAGAGAUGCUAUUACACUCAGCGGGCCAAGGGCUGCCCGAGUUUAUAUACACACAACUCCCACUGACUCUGUGCUACCGAUGUACUUCAGUGCGAGUUGUCAGCAGCAUAAAUUUAGCUCAGUACAGUCACAACCACAGCAGGCGCAGCCAGAGAUGUGGCUGUGUGUUAAAAAGGCUGAGGAAGAACAAAAAAGCUGUCCGUUUUCACAAGAAAUCUUACCCCUAGAGCAUGAAGAACUGUAGCCUGCCACCUGCCACACCACCCUCAUCCCACAGCCUGCGGAUCCCAGCCUGGGACUUGGAAGCAGCCGAAACAGAGAGAUCAGGAAAAAAAAAAAAAAAAAAAAAGGCCUAUUACAGGGCAUAAAACUGUGCUCUGCAUCCAACCUGAUUAUGUGAGGGAAAAAUUCCCCAUACAUAGAUGAUCCUCAGAACAUUUAUUUAUCAAAAUUUCGAGGAACAUCUUGGAACCAGUGACCCUCUUUAAAUAGAGAAUAUUUAAAAUAGGUACAACAAAGGUACAUAGAUGCCCACCUCUUGAAAGCCACUAGUCUGAGUCAGACGGUGUCAUGGGUGUUAUAUUUUAUUUUUAGUCCUUUCAUAACGUUUUUGCCAUGUUAUCUAAUGUAAUUCUUUGGGAGGUCUUUCUUGGCUUUUCAGACAACCCCAAGUCAUACCUUAUAAGUGAUCAGGUGUCAUUGACCUCAAGCCCAGCCUGCAAUAAACUCCAGGGUUUAAUCUGUAUUCUGAGCCCUUGCCACUGCAGACAAUGAAGUCUAUUCAUAAUAAGUGAAAGUGCCAUAGUUUGGCGAGCAGGGCCUGGGUGCCAAUCCAUGCUUCAUAUCACCCUAAUUGUGUGUCUUAGACAUGUUGCUUAACAUCUCUAAGCCCCAAUUUUCUCAUCUGUAUCCUGAGGUUAACAAGUUCUUCUUCACUGUGAUGCUGUGCAGACAAUACCAGAAAAGAUGUGUGAAACACUUAGCACAACAUAAAAGCUCCAUCGAAUGGAUGGAUGCACAUGUCAUACUGUAUGGUACAUAGUAGGCACUCAAGAAAAGCUUCCUCCUCCUUCUUUUUCCUCUCUUCUUACCCAAGACAGCCUAACAAGUUACUGCUCAUGCAAACCUAGGUCUAUUAAGAAAAAUAUGGCGUUUAAAGAAAAUAAAUAUUAUCCCAUGUGUGACAAAUGGCCACACAUGUGACAGAGCACAUUUAAAGCUAUUCUCAUCCUUUGAUAGUUGUUACAGAACAGAUAAGAAUAAUCCAUUCAAAAGGAAAAUCAAACACUAAAGAGUAAGCAAGGAACCAAAUUAGACAUUUAGUCAAGUCUGAUUAAUGGCUACUUCCAAUGGUGAUUUGAACUGAGUUCAGGAUCCCUGCCUGUCUGACUGUUAAUGUACAGUGGUGAGGGGUGACCAUAUUAAGAAGUGGAAUGCAUAGUUCAUUCAAAGUUCACAUAGAUUGUCUUAGUUUGUGAAAGACCAAACUCAGGUGCAAUUCUGGUAAUGCAACAAAACUAGUAUGUUUCAUGAUAAUAAGUUUAGGUAUAGAAAACUAUCUUUCUUCUGGAUAAAUUUAGCUUCCUUGCCAUUUCUUCAUUUUUUUUUUCAGUUUUUUCAAUAUGAGGACCCUAGUUUAUAGUAGAAUUAAUCAUGUUAAUCAUGUGUUAAAAAAUUAUAUCACUCUAAAAGACUUCCAGUCAUUCUAAAAAGGGUAGUCUAGGUCACAUUUAAAAAAGAAGGCGUUCUUGAACAGGAAAAAGUGCAAUAGGUAAAUUUGAAAAGUAUGAGUAAUUAAGUAAAGAUUCAAACAUUUCUUUUUAUAUGUUUUCUGAUAUAAAUAUGUUGCUCUAUCAUUGUUAAGUAACUCCCAUUGGCACAUUUAACUCUGAACGCUCUGAUGGGAGAUGCGAUAUUAUGUUUAUUAGAAGAAAAUAGCAACUGAAGUUUAAUAAAUUUGGAAAGAGUACAUGCAAAUUUGUGUGUGUGUAGGAAUUGACUUUUUUCAGUUGACAAAGGAAUCUUGUCUGGUUUGAAAUUGCAGUUAGAAAAUGUUGAAAGUAAAAACAAAAAUUGAAUUUGUACCAAAUUCAGGGGCUUUGAAGAGCUGAUGUGUAAAAAUUUGGUAGUGGUGAUGACCAUGCAGCCACUUCUAUUUGUGUAAUAAAAUCAGAAAAAAUACAACAAGAUUUACUCUAAAUAUAAGCUAAGGUCAUAAAUCAAGCUCUAAAAAAGAAAAUAAAAUGGGUGUACAUACAUCCAAAUAUACAUGAUAAAUUCUUUAAAUUCUUUUUGUCUCAUCAAAGAUAAUAGAAAAAAUAAUAAUAAAAUUAAGCUGACUUCUGCCUUCCAGCUCUCUUCCUCUUGUGUAGAGUUGAUCGUAGUAGUGGCCUCUUAAAUCUGGCUAAUUCUGUGGUCAGUGAAUAUUGUUUAACAAAAAUUCUUUUUCAGAAACAAGGUCCUUCCCCUGCUCAUCCACAUUUGCCUCAAUUUGACUUAUCCCCCCACCUCCCAGGCAUGUCAGAUCAGAGAAUCAUAUCAACCCACGUCAAAUCGAUUUAGGACACGAAAUCUUUCCUCACAAAUGAAAUUCCCUAUGAAAACUUAACAGGACCAACAAAUACAUCAGAAAAGUGUUACGGUAAAAGUGCCAGAAGUCGAGCUAAAAUGAAGGCCAAAUCUUUGAGAUCAGGGAGAAGGGGAAAAGGGUCAGACAGAAAGAGAUGUGAAAGGAAAAGCAGGGCAGGAGGAGAGACAAGAAGGAGAGAAGGGACCCAAAUUAGAACAAGAGGCGAUGUUUAUUAAUAACCUUGCUGACCCACGGGCCCCUGACCCAAAAUACAUUAAGUAUUGUUGGGACACUGCUCUGUCAGUCACAGGAGGAGCAUGUAAAAUGGUGUUGGAAGCUGCAAACUUUCCGAGAACUGACAAAAAAGAGCAAAAAAAAGCCAGGAUAAGGUAAAGGCAUAGACUCACGGGGUUGAGAAGUUCCCUUUAUACUCCUGCAGCAUUCUCUCUGGACAGCCUACCUCACAGUUCCACGCUUCCAGCCAGCUAGGAUUUAAAACACACAUGAAACAAUGUUUUUCUUGAUUGCAAAAAUAAUACACGUUCAUCGCAGAACAUUUGGAAAUUAUGGAAAAGCACAAAGAAGUCAAUACAAAUUGCUAGUCCCACCGCUUGUAUAUAAUCAUUGUCAACGUGUUGAUAUGUAUUUUCUCAUCUUUUUCCUCUCCUUUUUUACACGCAUAUAUUUGUAUGUUGGAAAAGUAAGACUGACGCCUUGCUGUCAUCCACUAUUUUGGAAUCCGGUUUUCCCAUCUGACAAGUCCUUAUAUAUAUUUGCUCAUGUUGUUAAAACUAUUAUAAAACAUGAUUUUUAUGUUGGCAUCAUAUUUCCUUAUUUGAAGGUAUCAUAAUUCAUUUGACCUCUAGUUAGAUAUUCAUGUAACUUUUUGCCUUUUUAAAAUGUUUGUGUGCAUCUCUGUUCCCUCUGGAAAUUACUGUGAGUGAAAUUCCUGGGUCAAAGUCUUUUUGGGGCUAAAAUUUGCAGAGUUGCCCUCCAAAGUAUUUAUGCCAGUUUAUAUUCCCACCUGCAGUGAGUGAGAAUACAGAAUUCACAAACCAUCAUUAAUUCUUUCCAAACUAAGAAACUUAGAACCUACUGUGAUUCGUAUUUUCUUGAUUGUGAUUCUAGCUUCUUCAUGUUUCUUGGCUGUCUUGUGUGUAUGUUAUUUGUCUGUUAUUCUAAUUUCUAUUUAUUUAAAAUUGUAGAAGUUCUAUUCAAUUUUUCAAUUGUGUUAGUUCUUUGCAUAUAAAGUUGUAAAAGUUCUUUGCCUAUUAAAUUUGUUAACCCUUUCACUAUUGCCCAUUGCAAGCAUUUCUUCAUUUUGUCACUUAAGUUUUAAUUGUGAAUGGAUUUUUAAUGUAUAUGUUUAUGAAUUUAAAUACAUAAUUAUUUUCAUUUAGUCUUUCUUCCUCUACUUUUAUGUUCAGAAAGGCACAUCCCAGGGUCAGAGAAAUGUUAACCUAUAUUUUCCACUAGUGCUUUUGUGGCUCUUUUUAAAGGAUUUAAAUCUGUCACAUAUUUGGUCUGUGUGGUAAGAAUCUAUUUCCUCCUGAUCUAAAUGUUGUAUGCUAUUGGGCUUAUUUCUGUAUUUUAAAAUUUUAUUCAUUAUCUUUCUGUCUUCAUCACUUUUUUUUGCCAAAACCCUCCAUUUUUAUUAUCACAAUUUAAGAAUAUGCUUUCAUAUCCAGUAAUGCAAAGUUUUUUUUUUUUUUCUCAUUACAAUUAGUUUUCUGGGUUAUGCCUCCUUAUUUGUUAUCCCAUAAGAACUCAUCAAGUUCAAAAUGUAAGAAAAGACAAUUGAUACAUUACUGUGUGAGGAUUUGAGGUCUUUAAUACUGAGUUUUCUCAUUUAGAAGUAAAGCAUGCCUUCUAAUUUAUUUUUUCACGUGAACUAUUAAAUUUGUAGUUUCUUCAUGUAUUUUUCAAUGUGCAUGGUGUCAAAUUUAUUCAUUGCUAUUGUGAAUACAGUUUCCCUAUUAAAUCUUAUAACUGUUUUCUGAGGAAAGUGAUUUUUAUUUUGUAGUUUUGCUUUUUUAUUUUGUAUUUUCCCACUUUACUGGUUUCUUAUUCAAAGAGUUUGCCAGUGGAUUCUUUUGAGCCAUCUAAUUAAAUCUUAUCAUCUGUAGAAAAUGAUACUUUUGUCCCUUUCCUUCAAAUUAUAUAAUUUCUUCAUUUUUUCCCUGUCUUAUUACCAAAGAGUAAACUUCCACAUUAUUUAAAAUAUUCUUUAUUCGGAAUGACUCCAGUAUUUUACUACCACGUGUGGUGGCCUGAAAACAACGUAGUUUUGCAGGACUGCAGCUUUUAGAAUGUGUUCAAAGCUUCAAAUUUCAAUCUCCCUUCCUGAACCUCUGUUUACUGGUUCCCUUGUAUACCUCCCAGCCCCUCUCUGCCCAGUAUUGAACAAGUCAUCCCCUUUUAAUACACGAGUGGUCUAUCUCCAUACAGACAACCCCAUCUCUUACCUACCGACGCUUCUUUUCUAGUUGAAACACCCACAUUUCGCUGUGGUAAAGCUCACCUUCAAUUCUGAGACCAACACAUUUAAACCACUAUUGUUUUACUUAGUGUAUCCCACGAAACCACCGGGUUAUUUUCUGCCAAAUUAAAAGUUAGAGUCUUGUGUAAGAUUUUUUUUUUUAAGUUUGCAUUUUAAGAAAAUGCUAAACUAUUUUUCUCACAUAGAAAUUAUCAUUUCAUUUGAAUUUGCUGACUUUUUGCCAGUGAAAAGUAAAAAUAACCUGGGAUUUUGCAUAUGCCAUGCAAAAAAGGAUUGGCUCCAUGGGUUCAGCUGGUUAGAACAAUAUGUGAAGACAGAGUGAGGAAAAGAGUAACAGCAACAGUUAGGGAUCCUGCCGGGGUUACCUAUGGGAAGGAAGAAGGGUGAGUGUCUACAAGGUGGGAAAUGGAACUAGUCUCUGGAUCACACUGACCCUUCAUUUCUUCAACUCUGAUUGUGGAUCAUUACCUGCCUUGCAAGCAAAAUACAGGAAUGAGAGACAACAUGUGUAAGGCAUAUUGGAGGACACUUGGCAACUAGCAGGCACUCACAAAGAUGAACUGUUAGCUUCCGGCUAGGUUUGCAGGUAGGGAUAUGGGCCAUGUUAUAGGUAACAAAAUGGAAAGAAGAGACCCUUCUCUACUAUAAAUUUCUACAUAGAGUUAACCCCGAGCACGCUCAAGGAUUUUAGGAUUUAGCCAACAGGCAGUGCUGUACCUGGGGCGGGUGCGUGUGUGUGUGUGUGCAGUUCUAAACUACACAUCUCCAUGAACACCUCCCAAGGAGAUAGAAACUCUUACUCCUCUGUGUGGCGUGGCCUUUGCUGUGAAUGCCAAGUAUCAUUGGAACCGACUUUUCGUCCUACCGUGACGGACCAUGAGCUCCAAAUGUUUAGAUUUCCUCUUCUGCUGAAGGAGACCGGAAGGGCUCCUCAUUUUGAUAUUACAGUAAAUAGUCCUUGUGGCCAUGUGCCUGGCAUUUAAGAACUUCCUUGUCAGCACGUCUUCAUUUUUCCAAUUUGUUAGCCUGGAUAACACGCUUAUUAGUAUCAAACUUAAGUCUUACCAAGGCAGAGUGAAAAUUUCCUUCUAUCUUUCCCAAAGUGAAGCUAGAGAUCUAAUUUUUUUUUUUUUAACGUGGUGGGAGGUUUCUGUAUUAUUAUUGUUUAAAAUCAAUUUCCUUUACUCCAUAUUCUUUUCCUGUUGUUUAUUUUAUCUGUCCUUCUCUCCCAGAGGGGCAGCAUUAAAGCCCCCAUUUGGUUUUUAUUAGUGUAAUCUGUUAAUAGCUGUUCUAUAAUGCUUUACUUAUUGUGUUAAUUUUCUGUACUUAUGUCCAGAGGCAGCUUCCUGGAAGACCAUAUUAAAAAA